rnacentral:rRNA from 1 species
AGUGAACGCUGGCGGUAGGCCUAACACAUGCAAGUCGAACGGCAGCACAGUAAGAGCUUGCUCUUACGGGUGGCGAGUGGCGGACGGGUGAGGAAUACAUCGGAAUCUACUUUUUCGUGGGGGAUAACGUAGGGAAACUUACGCUAAUACCGCAUACGACCUACGGGUGAAAGCAGGGGAUCUUCGGACCUUGCGCGAUUGAAUGAGCCGAUGUCGGAUUAGCUAGUUGGCGGGGUAAAGGCCCACCAAGGCGACGAUCCGUAGCUGGUCUGAGAGGAUGAUCAGCCACACUGGAACUGAGGCACGGUCCAGACUCCUACGGGAGGCAGCAGUGGGGAAUAUUGGACAAUGGGCGCAAGCCUGAUCCAGCCAUACCGCGUGGGUGAAGAAGGCCUUCGGGUUGUAAAGCCCUUUUGUUGGGAAAGAAAAGCAGCAGGUUAACACCCCGCUGUUCUGACGGUACCCAAAGAAUAAGCACCGGCUAACUUCGUG